rnacentral:lncRNA from 1 species
AUAAACAGAAUGCUUUUUUUUUUUUUUUUCAAAAAACUUCAAAUAUCAUUCUUGUGGUUUCACACUUUCUCACUUUGGUAUCCUGUAUUUAAAGUAUAUCAAUUUACUAUCCUGUGAUUUUAUUUUUAUUUUUUUAUUAUCGAUUCCACUAAUUUUUUUCGUUAAAUCAGUGACAAAGUUAAAACUAAAGGGCACUAAAGUGAAUAUUCGAUAAACCUAGGUGAAUUAUCUGAAGUUUUUGUAUAUAAUUUAACAAAAUAUUAACGAAGAAACUGACGAAAAAAUAAAAAUAAAAUCACAGAAUACUAACUUGAUACACUUUAAAUCACAGGAUAUGAAAAAGUGAGAAAGUGCGAAACCACAAGGGUGGUAUCUGAAGUUUA